AAAGACUUGACGGUACUUCACAACAACCUAGAGGAGCCUGUCCAAUAACCGAUACCCCACGAUUAAUUCUACCUGCCCUAGCCNUAACAGUCUAUAUACCGCCGUCGCCAGCUUACCUUAUGAAAGAAACAAAGUGAGCCCAAUAACAACACAUUAACACGACAGGUCGAGGUGUAACUAAUGAGCAGGCCAAAGAUGGGCUACAUUUUCUUAAACAGAAAAUACGAACNCAACUAUGAAAUUAGAAACUGAAGGCGGAUUUAGCAGUAAGCUAACAAUAAAAUACUUAGCUAAAACCACAGCAAUGAAGUGCGUACACACCGCCCGUCAUCCCUG
rnacentral:rRNA from 1 species